AGAACUCAGAGGAGUUGAGCUCCAUGAGUCGGUGACAGCCUCUUGGAGACUCAGGCUAAGCUGGGGACAGAGCUGGUGUGCAGAAGACAGCCAUGAUACCGCCUAAUAGAAUGGCCCGUUUGCAUUUAUUUGGAACAAAAAAAGGAGAUGCCUGGCAGCCUGGCUUUCUGCAGCUAAGUAUUCGUCUGCAUUCUGGUUUUCCGUCACACAUCGGAAGCGAGAGAUGUUCAUUGAACCCACCCAGCUGCCGUGACUUCUCCUUUCCCCGCGCACCCCUGCCCCUGAUCCUCCAGCAGAGAUUGGAUUUUCUGGUGCGGCUGGAGAGCUGCAGAGAGGCUAGAUCCCAGUGUCCAGCCCCCGCACAUCGCCCUCACACUCAGGAGAAGUCGAUUUUCCCUAAAGCGGAGCCUAAAGCCCAUGUCCCUCAGUGCGGUGUUAUUAAUGGGCCGACGGGAAGGGCCCUGCUUGCCCUCACUGCCCCCAGCGGGGAGGUGCUGUCGAGCCACCGAUUUUCUGUGGUUCCGCGACCCCGAGUGCUGACUGAUGUGACAGGUUCCGGUCUUGUCAGUGAAUCAUCGCCAAGCUGCUUAUUGGAACCCAGAUGCAGCAAGAAAAUGGGAUUUAACCCCUUCCCGGCCUCUCAGGUAAGUCAGGUGUGGGCUGACGCUUCUGGCCCCACCCCCCCGCCUCCCAGCCCCCUUCCCUUCUCAUGGAGACCGUUUUCCUUAGUCAGUGGGGAAUCCUCAAACGUCUCCAUUCACAAUCUCCCAAACAAUGCUCUCUUCUUUCCAUUCUCCUACUCCUGGCUUUUCUGUGAAUGGGGUUAG
ensembl:lncRNA